ACUGUUUCGGGGUCCCAGACUCCUUGGGUACCAUCCAGGUCAUUCAUGUUUCGAUGAGAUAUACACAGAUGCUGAAGUGCUACCAAGACCGGAAGAGCCAGGACCAGCUUCAUCCUUUGGAAUGCUCUGCAGGGAAGAGCGCGGGUUCAGAACUUCGGCAACUGCAGAAACUUCUAUGCCACAAAGCCGAUUUUUUUAAACAUUGAAGAUUCAUGCAGACAGCCAGGAGCACCUUGACACAGAGCGACAGCCUGCAAGGCUUCGGGGUCGUCUUCAAGGAAAGAGAAACUCAACCACUGUUUAAGUUGCAGGAGAAAAUAUUUCAUAAACAGAGACCGUUUGGUGAGACAUCAGUUUGAAAAGGUUCACAAUUCAACCAAACAAGAAAAACCUCGCAUUUCCUCCGGAGGCUAAACUCCUCCUGAGUUACUUCUUUCAGGAGCAAGUGUUGUAAUUCAGAUUGUCAAUUUUAAAAAUGUGUUAGGAAUUCAGAGAAACAUAUUUUGCCCUUGUCGCUGUAGUUGUUGCCUGCCCCCUGCCAUGGUUUUGCAGGGAAAGUGGGGGUGAGGAGGUUCAUAAAACACUGUAUAUUCCUGGAAGAAAAUUGGAUGAGAAGAUUUCUAUGUAGGCAGGUGCCUGGGUAGGAUGAUGCCCUGAGAUUGUCUUUGUCUGUGUCACAGCCUCUAAAACUCUCUGUGGCAUCUCAGCGCUUGUGUGCGUGUGUGUCUGGGUGUGCUUCCUUCUCAUCCCAUGCCUUGGGAAUCUUGAUUUAUUCACUCUUAUUUAAUGUAAGAAUGAUAGAGGUAAUUACUGAAAGUUCCUGGGGUACCAGGAUGGAGCUAAAUGAAAGAUGGCUUCAGAGGCAGCCAUCUGCUCCUGGGGAGCAGGACAGGCUGCAGCCGAGUUACAGCCCCCGGGACCAGGCUGGUGAUUUUCUCUCCGUGGAAAAACAGCAUUGGUUGUGCAGGGUCACAGAGAGAGCCUGGAGGGGGAAAUAACAUCCCUCUCUUCACAAGGGGAGAGGGGCAGGCUGUGGCAGCUUUGCCUGCCAGAGCUGGCGAUGGGCCUUGGAAUCAAGAGGCCAUUGAUGUGAAGGCAGAUUCAGAUCCUAGUUUUGUAACUCGCACAUUUAUUAACUUUGAGAAACUUGUAUGACUUCUUUUUGUCUUAUUUUAGAUGCAAAAAUAAAUAAAU